GUGGGGAAUCUUGCGCAAUGGGCGAAAGCCUGACGCAGCCAUGCCGCGUGAAUGAUGAAGGUCUUAGGAUUGUAAAAUUCUUUCACCGGGGACGAUAAUGACGGUACCCGGAGAAGAAGCUCCGGCUAACUUCGUGCCAGCAGCCGCGGUAAUACGAAGGGGGCUAGCGUUGCUCGGAAUUACUGGGCGUAAAGGGCGCGUAGGCGGACAGCUUAGUCAGAGGUGAAAGCCCAGGGCUCAACCUUGGAAUUGCCUUUGAUACGGUCUGUCUUGAGUUUGGGAGAGGUGAGUGGAACGCCGGGUGUAGAGGUGAAAUUCGUAGAUAUUCGGAGGAACACCAGUGGCGAAGGCGGCUCACUGGCUCGAUACUGACGCUGAGGUGCGAAAGCGUGGGGAGCAAACAGGAUUAGAAACCCCUGUAGUCC
rnacentral:rRNA from 1 species